GCCUGGGUGGCUCAGUUGGUUGAGCAUCCAGCUUCAGCUCAGGUCAUGAUCUCACAGUCUGUGGGUUCAAGCCCCACGUCAGGCU
rnacentral:tRNA from 1 species